AUUGAACGCUGGCGGCAUGCCUUACACAUGCAAGUCGAACGGUAACAGGUCUUCGGAUGCUGACGAGUGGCGAACGGGUGAGUAAUACAUCGGAACGUGCCCGAUCGUGGGGGAUAACGCAGCGAAAGCUGUGCUAAUACCGCAUACGAUCUACGGAUGAAAGCGGGGGAUCGCAAGACCUCGCGCGGACGGAGCGGCCGAUGGCAGAUUAGGUAGUUGGUGGGAUAAAAGCUUACCAAGCCGACGAUCUGUAGCUGGUCUGAGAGGACGACCAGCCACACUGGGACUGAGACACGGCCCAGACUCCUACGGGAGGCAGCAGUGGGGAAUUUUGGACAAUGGGCGAAAGCCUGAUCCAGCCAUGCCGCGUGCAGGAUGAAGGCC
rnacentral:rRNA from 1 species